GACGAAGGUGGCUAGCGUUGCUCGGAAUUACUGGGCAUAAAGCGCGCGUAGGUGGACCUGUAGGCGAGGAAUGAAAUCCCAUGGCUCACCCAUGGAACUGUCUCUCGAACUGGAGAGCUUGAGGACGGGAGGGGAGAGUGGAAUUCCCGGUGUAGCGGAGAAGUGCGUACAUAUCGGGAGGAACGCCGGUGGCGAAAGCGACUCUCUGGCCCGUUUCUGACACUGAGGCGCGAAAGCUAGGGGAGCAAACAGGAUUAGAUACCCUGGUAGUCCUAGCUGUAAACGAUGGGCACUGGGUAGAGGGGGCGUCGAUACCCUCUUUGCCGAAGCAAAUGUGUUAAGUGCCCCGCCUGGGGAGUACGGUCGCAAGGCUAAAACUCAAAGGAAUUGACGGGGGCUCACACAAGCGGUGGAGCAUGUGGUUCAAUUCGAAGCAACGCGAAGAACCUUACCCGGGUUUGAAAUUCACGGAUGGGUCCGGUGAAAGCUGGAUACCCUACCCGCAAGGGUGAAACGUGGACAGGUGUUGCAUGGCUGUCGUCAGCUCGUGUCGUGAGAUGUCGGGUUAAGUCCCUCAACGAGCGAAACCCUUGUCUUUAGUUCCCAGACGGUUCGGCCGGGGACUCUAGAGAGACUGCCGUUGUGAAAACGGAGGAGGGUGGGGACGACGUCAAGUCAUCAUGGCCUUUAUGUCCGGGGCUACCCACGUGCUACAAUGGUCGGUACAAAGGGAUGCUAAGCCGCGAGGUAGAGCAAAACUCACAAAGCCGGCCCCAGUUCAGAUUGGAGGGUGCAACCCUCCUUCAUGAAGAUGGAAUCGCUAGUAAUCGCGGAUCAGUUACGCCGCGGUGAAUAUGUUCCUGGGCCU
rnacentral:rRNA from 1 species